rnacentral:lncRNA from 10 species
GACAUAUGUUUUUUUCUUUUUUUAAUCACCUAUGUGAUGUGCCUUUGUUCGCAUGUGUGUGCAUCCUGGCCCUGCCAAAAGUGGGGAUUGUAACAUAUCACUAAACUUAGUACCAAGGUGUUAUGAUUCUCCUUGUUUGCCUGGGCCCUGCAUAUAUUAGGUACUGUGACGUAUGGCUGAGACAAACACCUAGGGCACGAGAGCCUCCUGCCUGGGUCCUGCCCACAAGGAACCUUUUGGCUUAUCUCUGCAUCCAUGAACUAGGAGAUGUGACUCUUCUUUUCUGUCUGGGUUCUGCAAAAACAAGUGAUUGUGACAUAUCAUCAAACCCAGCAACUAGACGAUGUGAUUUUUCUUCCCUGCUUGAGCCCUGGAUAUGCUGUGUAUUGUGAUAUAUGGCUGGGUCCAACAUCAAGGAGAGAUUAUGACAUAUCUCUGGAACCAGAACCUUAGUGAUGUGACUCUUGUCUCCUGCUGAAGCCAUGCCCACACAAGGGAAAGUGACUCAUCACUGGACCCAGCACACAGGUCUUUUCCCACAGGGAGCAUUGUAAAAUAUCACUGGGCUCGGCCACCAGGUUAUGUGACCCUUCUGCCUGUGCCCUGCUUCCUGGAAAUGUGACAUUCCUCAUACAGCACCCAGGUGAUGUGACUCUUCUGCUCAUUUUCUACUUAUAGUUGGGAUUGUGACAAAUAUCCUGGCCCAACUCAUAGGUGCUAUGAUGAUUCCCGUACCUGGAAUCAGCCAAUAGGGAGAUAGUGUCUCUUGUAUUGUAGCCUAGGGAAACAAGUAAGAUCCUGGGCCUCCUCUUUGUAUGAAUGUCAUAAAGAGUUAUCAAUCUGACUGGGCAGUGUGGCUCAUGCCUGUAAUCCCAGCACUUUGGGAGGCCAAGGUGGGUGAAUCACGAGGUCAGGAGUUGGAGAGCAGCCUGGCCAACAUAGUGAAACUCUGUCUCUACUAAAAAUACAAAAAUUAGCCGGGUGUGGUGACAUGUGCCUGUAAUCCCAGCUACUCAAGAGGCUGAGGUGGGAGAAUCACUUGAACCCGGGAGGCAGAGGUUGCAGUGAGCUGAGACCAUGCCAUUGCACUCCAGCUUGGGUGACAGAGUGAGAUGAGGCUCCCUCUCAAAAAAAAAAAAAAAAAAGAGAAGAAAGAAAGAAUUACCAAUCUUUGGUGUGUUUCAUAAACCAUUUGGGUGGCACAAAGAAUGUCUUCAGAGGGCUUAGCGCACAGGUGAGAUUGUUUCUAAAAUGCAGAAACUGCCAACUGUUAGGACUGUCACCCUUACACAUGGCAAAAGCCAGCUAGUGAGCUCCUGAAUCUCACAGGUGGACACAGUUCAAAGUUGGAAUUGUGACUGUCAUAUAUUAACAUUUGGCCACAAUUAAGGUGGUGACUCAUUAAUAAAUGCAGUACAUAGGUAGGUGAAGACUCUCUGAUCUAGACCCUGUCAACUAGAGAGUGGGGACUCUGUAAUCUGGACCUUGCCAACUAUGCUCAGAAAGGUCUCAGAGCAGACUGUGACUUUUAUGCACACUCUACAAAGCCCUCAGGCGGUGCAGAAAGUGUUCCAACAGAGCCCAGCACACAGGUGAAAACCCCUGCCUGUGCCCUGCCCAUAUGGGCAAUUUUGACAUGUUGCUGAGUCUGAUACCUGGGUGAUGUAACUCUCUGGCCUGGUCCUGCCUACAAGGUUUUCUGUAACAUAUCUAUGCACCAGUCAACUUUGUGUUUUGAUAAUCCUCUUCUACCAAUUUCUGCUCAAAAGAAGGAUUUUGACAAAUAAUUGGGACCAGCACCUAGCUGACAUUAUUCUACUUUUCUUUCAAGGUUUGGUUUUCAGGGGAUGUUGUGACAUGUCACUAGGCUAACAGACAGGUGAUAUUCUUCUGCCUUGGCUCUUCCAAAAUAAAGCAUUUUUACACAGUGCUAUGCCCAGGACCACAGUGACUGAGUCUCCUGCCUAGACCCUGCCCACAGAAAGAUUGUAACAUAUCUCUAGACCCAUCAACUAUUUGAUGUGAGUCUCUUCUUUUACCUUGUCUUUUCCCACAAAAGAGAUUGUGAUAUGUCUCUGGGCCCAGCACCUAGGUGAUGUGACUUCUUCUGCCUGGAUCAUGCCCAUAGAAGGGAGAGUAACUUAAUACUGGGCUUACCACAGACAUGCUGAGAUACUUCUGCCUGUUACUUGCCCGCAGGAUGCAUAUGCCAGAUUUCUGGGCCCAUCACCUAGAUGAUGGGACUCUCCUUUCUGGGACCAGUACACAGUGGGAACUGUGAUGCAUUGUUUAGCUCAGCAGCUACAUAAUGUAACUCCC